rnacentral:tRNA from 1 species
GCCGACUUAGCUCAUCUGGGAGAGCAGCGCCCUUGUAACGCGCAGGUGGUCCGUUCAAGUCGGACAGUCGGCACCA